AAUUAAUCUCAUAAAAAAUCCCAAAUCAAAAACCCUAAUUGAAAGGGGAUUUCGAUCGGAAGGAGCUUCCUUCAGCGGCGCCUCCUCCAACGCCGUCCGUCGGUCGCUGCUCUGCUCGGCGCCCUCCUCACACCGCCGGAUACUUGUUUCUCCUUCCCCAUCCUCCCCCUCUGUCCAUCGACAGUUCCUCGAAUCCUUCCCUCAAGUCCUCAAAUCCCUAGUUGAAACAAAAACAGCGCCUCCUCCUUUUCUCUCUCGAUUUGCCACCGUCAUCCAUUCCCGGCGCUCGCAACACCGCUACCGGAGCCCAGCAGGACUCCUCGUCGCUUCGCGAGGCUUCUGCCGUCGCUGCUGUUCGGUGAGGCUCAAGGUGUCGCCACCGCUGUUUCGCUACAUCCCUGACCUCACGGAUCUUCCUCGGAGUCAGCGACGAGCCGCCCCUUUCUCGGCGUUUCUCCGAAAUGAAACUAAGUUCUUUAACUUGUUCCUCAAUAGCCACUUAAUUUGGGCAGUAGCUACGGUUGGUUGUUAUCUGGUGAACUGAGUUCGAUUUGGAGGGAUUCUGCUCUAUGUUCUAGCUCCAUUUAUCAUUUAGCAUGCUAUAAACAAAGCUUAGCCAGUAGCUUUGUGAAAUUAUAAUUCUUGGAUUUGUUCACAGUGGUGGAGUUCCGUGUGGUUGCUACUGAUUUUGGCCUAUGAGGCAGACUAUGAUUUUUUUGCACUAACUUGUUAUGAUAUGAUUUACUGGUCUUAUUUGGGGUUUAGCAUACUAUUUGAGAAUUCUAAGUUGUCUUGCUUCUACAUGAUGAUAUGAAGGAUUGUUUGGAAGAAGGAAAAGAAGUGUAUUACCUCUUGAAAACAGCUUCUGAUCCUUGAGUUUUCUGCUCCGAGACUCCAAGUUCACCCACCUACCAUGGAGUUCCUACUUCCUAGUUGCAGUGAAAGGGAAAGGGGUGAGCUUGAGUUUUUAGCAUGAAGAGAAAUGUGGGAAGGGGAGUUGCCUGCAAGAACUCUGCUGAAACUCUACUCCAAGCUUUCUCACUCUCAACUUGCUAUUGUGGCUUAAAAUGAUUCAAAGUAUGUGGAGGGGAGUUUGGAGGUGGUGUGGGGGUUCUUAUAGAUGUACAAGGUGGAGAGGGAAGAAGUGCAGGUGCUGAUUUGAGGAGGAUGUUGCAGGCAUUGACUUGCCCCUUUGGGUAAGUCCUUGGUCUACUCAAGCAAAGGGAUGGGAAAACUGGGCAGUUGGGCAGGCCUUCCGAGACAUGGGCCUGCUACCUUUGGCCCGAUGGGUUGAUCAGAUAGGGCCGCGGUGGGGAUGUGGUUUGGGCUCAGGAGAAAGAGGCCCAAAGUAUAGCUAAAAGAAGCCUUUAGUUUCUUAACCUUCUAGGCUCAUUCUUGAACAUUUGUUUUUGUAAUAGUAUAGUAUUCCUUUUAAAUUGAUUGUAUUAUUCGAGAUGUAUACGAAAAUUUUAGUUCGGGAGAACAACUUUAUUUCCUUGUAUAAUGUUCACAUAUUUCAGAACAUUCA